rnacentral:rRNA from 1 species
CCUACGGGUGGCAGUAGUGGGGAAUUUUGCACAAUGGGGGCAACCCUGAUGCAGCGACGCCGCGUGAGUGAUGACGUAUCUCGGUAUGUAAAGCUCUAUCAGCAGGAACGAGACAAGACGGUACCUGAAUAAGAAGCCCCGGCUAACUACGGGCCAGCAGCCGCGGUAAUACGUCGGGGGCAAGCGUGAUCCGGAAUCACUGGGUGUACAGGAAGCGUAGACGGCUGUGCAAGCCUGAAGUGAAAGGCGGGGGCCCAACCCCUGGACCGCGUUGGGGACUGCACGGCUGGAGUGCGUGAGGGGGAGGUGGAAUUCCGAGUGUAGCGGUGAAAUGCGUAGAUAUGAGGAAGAACACCGAUGGCGAAGGCGGCUUCCUGGGACGUAACUGACGCUGAGGCUCGAAAGCGUGGGGAGCAAACAGGAUUAGAUACCCUAGUAGUC